rnacentral:tRNA from 1 species
UGUAGCUCAGUGGUAUAGCACUUGCCUGAUACGAAAGAGGUGCUGAGUUCGAUCCUCAGCA